ensembl:lncRNA ST3GAL6-AS1 ST3GAL6 antisense RNA 1
GCGAAGGGAGGGACGAGGAAAGGCGGCGGGUGGCUUCAGGACAAGCUGUGAGAUAUCGGUGGGCGAGGAUGUGAUGCCUGAAGAUGUGGCAUCUACCUUGAAACAGUCAAGGACCUGAGGAUGAAGCCAGCAUCUGAGGAAGACAGACAGAAAGGAUCUGGAUACAUCAUGAGCCUGAAAAGUAUCUUGCAUACACAACUGGCAGCACAGAAUCCUGACAAACCUCUCAUCAGAAAUCAACCACAGACUCUUUAUGCUCUUACCAAAAUGCUGGCUUUGAGAACUAAUUAUGAAUGAAAAUUACUGAUGUGAUUUUCAGUCCACAGGGCCUGAAAAUUGCUUCCAGCAACUGACAAGUUCAUCCCCUUCCAACUGGUCUGACAAGCCCUGAGGAAGGAGGAAGACAGUGAUAUCCACCCCCCGCUGCCCCUACCUCCUUAACUGUAAAAUUGUCCAUCUCAUCUUGAACUAUCCAGAAACCAACAUGGGACUACACAAAACCACUACUUGAAGUCAGCACCAAAAGAGUUGUCUGUGGAAAAUGGUUGACCAGGGUCAACGUUAUUUAUAGAUGUGCAACAAACUGCCUACCUUCUAGUCUUCAAUUAUCUGCAUAUGUAUAGGAGAUGUUGGAAAUUUGUUUUUGGACUGAUUCUUUGAAGCCUUACCUCCUUGCAUAGUCCUGAUAGAAUAACAAAUUAGGUUCCCAAUAUUGAGUGAGAAGAGUGGGUUUCAGGAGUCAUUCACACACUGCAUUCUGCCUUCCAGAGGCAGUGGGAGGCAAGAAUAAGAGAAGUAUCAUGGGCUUUGGGGUUAGCCAGGACUACACCCAAAUUUCUGCUGGCCUUGGUACUAGCUGGGUCCUAGAGUAUGACACGUUCCCUGUUAAGUGUUUUUGUUUGUUUGUUUGUUCUUUUUUUUUUUUUUUUGUCUGAUCUGGUAGCCUGCAGUAAAUUGUUAUUUCCUUGGCCUUAGGAUUUAUAGCCUGUGACCAGUUACCAGAUUAUCUCACCACUGAAGGCCUAGAUAGUACUGUGUAUAAUGAAAGCAAGUAAGGUUAUUAACACUUGAAGCUUUUUAACCAUAGUAUUUCUCAGUUCAAAGCAAAGAAACCCAUCCACCUAUUUAUUUUUGCAUGACUAGUAUAGAUAUCUAUAAUAUUGAGAGGACGUUCCAGCUUGGCUUCCUGGGUCAAGUAGGGGCUCAGAAAGCUGUGAAACUCACUCAUUUCCUGCAUCAGGACUUAUUUCGGUCCUGGAUGAAUAAUAUUGAAGAUAUAUGCUUAAAAUAUUCCUAACACCAGGAUUUGUGCAUGUGUUUUCUUCCCCAAGAAACCUAUAAACAGCAAAAAUUUUGCUGUAAGUUUCCCUGUGUCCUCUCUCCCUCUCUCUCUUCCCCCUCCCCUAAAACUAAAAGGAACGUUAAAUGCCCAUUUUCUGCUGGACCUUAUCUAUGCUCCUAAUUCCAAUUCCUUGUAAACAUGCUUUGUAAAGUCCUGUGAGAUCCUGUCUCCUUUGCCAUGCCGCUGCAAGGUCAUAAAGUAGAUAAAACCUAAGUUGCAAUUCCAGUUUUCCUCAA